rnacentral:rRNA from 1 species
AUGGGGUUCGAGUCGUCGGCGGAGACGGAGCGGUUCCUGUGCGAGCGGCUGCUGGACGCGGCGCAGCCCAUAGCGGAGCGCUUCCGCGCGCUCUUCUCCCUCCGCAACCUCCGCGGCGACGGCCCCCGCCACGCGCUCCUCCAAGCUGCAAGGGAUCCCUCUAACUUGCUUGCCCAUGAGGCUGCAUUUGCGCUUGGACAAAUGCAGGAUGUUGAAGCUAUCCCUGCAUUAGAGGGAGUUCUCAAGGAUCUUUCACUGCAUCCAAUUGUCCGCCACGAGGCUGCUGAAGCCCUGGGAGCUAUUGGCUUGGAAAAGAGCAUUUCCCUGUUGAAAGAGAGUUUAGCAGCUGAUCCUGCCGUGGAGGUGCAAGAAACAUGCGAGUUGGCUCUUAGACGGAUAGAAGGGCAGAAGAAUGCUAGUGGCGCUGAAAGCACAACAAUUUCGCCUUAUCUAUCAGUUGAUCCAGCACUGCCUGCCAAGCAAGGACUUUCAGUAGAACAACUAAGGGAGCUUCUCCUCAACGAGCAAGAAAAGAUGUAUGAACGUUAUGCAGCUCUUUUUGCGCUUAGGAAUGAUGGCGGAGAUUAUGCUGUUUCUGCUAUCAUUGAAUCUCUAGGUGUGAAAAGUGCUCUUCUGCGCCACGAGGUCGCUUAUGUAUUAGGUCAGCUGCAAAAUAAGGCUGCUUCAGAUGCACUUUCUGGUGUGCUGAAGAACGUCAAUGAGCACCCGAUGGUCAGACAUGAAGCUGCUGAGGCCCUUGGUUCAAUUGCGGAUCAAGAAAGCAUUGCGCUUCUGGAGGAAUUUUCCAAGGACCCCGAGCCCAUCGUCUCCCAAAGCUGUGAAGUAGCCCUCAGCAUGCUCGAGUACGAGAGAUCAGGGAAGUCGUUCGAGUUCCUGUUCCUCCAGACUCCUCAGGUGCAGCAGGAGUCCUGA